rnacentral:lncRNA from 12 species
AUGGUGCCAAUUCAACGUAAAAGACUGGAGAGAUUCUCCUUUUUUCCCACAAUGUUAAAAUGCACCUUUUCCACAUUUGUAUUUGCCCAAAGACUAAGCUUUGUACCUGGGAAGCCCUGGAGUAGAAAUAUCUCCGUGAUGGAAAGCCUGAACUCUCAGGGCUUCAUUCAUUCGGGCACCAGCCCCGGAGCACCCCUUCGUGCAGGACCCCGGACUCGGAGCCAGGCCGCAGCCCCGCCGCCGGGAUCCCGCUUCCUCAACCUCGGGAACGUCUGUCAGGAAUACUUGGUUUCUAGAAUCGUCACGACACGGGGGGAAAGUACAAAGUUAGGAACUGCUGCAACGCCGGGCUCCGCUCUCCCUUGGGUUUUCUGCCCGCGCCGCGAGCCGAGGAGCCUGUGGAACAAAGUAGAACUUGAGGAGCCGCCGCCGCGGCGACUACGUCCCGGGAUGACGUCACCGUGCGAUAUUUAAAAUGGGAGCUUUUCGCUCCGAGGGUGGGUGGAGGAAUUGCGGCUGCUUGAAGACGCCUGAGGGCUCGCCGGCCCAGCUCGCUUCUAGUUUCUUUCUCUGACUUUGCAACUCCCUCUUUUACCCUUUGGUGCUCCCGGGAUCCGAACUGGUGGGAGUGGGUUAAUUUUUAUGCUCUUCCACGCAUCAUUCCCUCAGACUGAAAAAAAAAAAAAAAAAAGUAAUUCCAUAUGACUCAUCCUGUGUUCCAAAGCAAUAGCAACCACUGAGUGGUUCUUUCCUUCCUUUCAUUUUUUUGAUACGAAACAACAAGACAAAAAGGAAAACAAAACCCUAACCUCAGAUAUGGAGAGCACAGUAGACGAAUUUAAUGAAUGAGAACGAGACCGUUUAGAAUUCAGUACUUUUCUUUCGUGGGGUUCCUUGUUUUCUUUGAUGAGAUAGAAGCUAAUGUAGUUCCAUCAGCAAGCAACUUUCUUCUCAAACCGUAUAUUAAAUUGCAGUGGGUUUUAUUUUCCAUUAUAACAUGGUGGGAUAUAAAUACAGCUUUGUAAAGUGGAAAUGGCCUAACUUUUUUUUAGGAGGAUGCCUCAUAGCAUUUGUGGAAGGCUGGGGUUGUAUGUGCCUCCACAACUUUUAAGUGCAACUCAGUUCCUCUUGUCUGGUACUUGGCCAAAGAAGGCGGAUUUGGCAUUCUAGGGUUCCAGAGGGGAAGGUUUAGGUGUCUACCCAUCCAAGAUCAGGGUGGGUGGGACUGCCUGCACACCUCUCAGAUAACUAGUAUUUCACAGUGAGAUCCCUCGUUUGAAUUUGCUCAAGGAGUAAAGGAUCAUAUUAUGAGGAGAGAUGUCAAGAGGUUUGAGAAAACAAAUGUGUGAGAACCCAAACUUAUCAGCUAGGUUUUUGGUUUUAGGUUUUGGUUUUUAUAUUAAACACAGCAGAGGCUGUAUAUCUUUAAUAAUUGGCUCUGGAAGGGAUGAUAUUGCUUAGUAAAUGCAGCAUAUGAAAAACUCCCAAGUUACUUACAGCCGCCAAGUGAAUGAGCUCAUUGCAUAAAGACAGAAUAGAAUAUACAUUGAAGCAAUCCCAGGAUAAGAUUUUUGCCUUUAUGGAUUAAUCAAUGAUAAAUCAGAUCUGCCAUUUAAAGAGAGUCUUUCUUGAGGCGAUUCCACAGUGCAGCUAAAUCUCUGGCUUUCUUUUAGUUUGAUUUUUCUGUGGAUGACCCUGAAUUUCUGCUCUAUUAAAUAUGUUUUGAUAGAACCACUGUUGGGUUAUAUCUUUCAGGUAAAUAUAUCUCUGUUCCUGAAAAAUGCUAACAAAUUCAUGCUAAAAUUUUUUUCUUUAUGUGUAACAGCUUUAUUAUUCAAAUAGGACUCCUGUAGCAUACAAUUUACACAUUUAAAAUCUACAGUUCAUUAGUUUCAGUAUAUUCACAGAGUUGUGUAGCCAUCACCACAGUUAAUUUUAGGACAUUUUCAUCACCCUUAUAGGAAACCCUGUAUUCAUUGACACCCUCCUCUUUUUUCCCCCCAUCAUUCCUUCCCCUAGUCCAAUAACCUACUUUCUGUCUAUAUGGAUUUGCCUAUUCUAGAAAACUUAAAUAAAUGCAAUCAUACAAUAUUUGGUCUUUUGUAA